ensembl:lncRNA
CUGGAUCUUCACAGCUCUGCCAAAUAUGAUAGGAACGACCUCUAAAUACGGAGGAGGACUUGUUAAUUUAAUUUUUUUGUUAUGUUGGAGUUGGGAAUAUAGCACAGUAGUAGAAUUUGUGUCUGUUGUACUCAAGGACCUGGAUAUGACCUCCAGUACUACAACUCAAAAAAAAAAAAAAGUGUCCCUUUAUGUGCCCUGGAUGCCAUUACGGUGCCGCUCCCAUCCAAACAGUGACUCAGCAGUUGACUUCUUGCCUCCUGUAGCUGCCAGCUGGAACAAGUCUCCUCCAGGAUAUGAAGGAGAAUGUGUGGGGGUCAAAGACUUGUGCUGGGAGACCACAUUUUGAUGAUCAACAGCUACAAGGGAAAGUGAGCAGUCAGUUCCUUUAAAGCCUGUGAAGAGCACACGAAGCAGAACUGACCCGGAAACCAGUACUCUUUGACCUUGUCGCACUGUUAACGGUGGUCUUGUAACACAUAGCCCAAUUUUACCUGGACUUGAGUGACCGUGUGGAAACUAAUCAGUUCCAUCACCCUCAGACUUGCAGUUCACGAAGCCCUCACUGAACUGGUUUCCAGUCAGCCGAGGCGAGGAGGAGGAGAUCUGCCCAAACUAUUUGGGUUGUUUAAAUAAAACAAUCAGCUGGUAGACAUCAUGGAUACACAGAUGAAGAGAUAUUCCACAGCCAACUCCAUCCCCAAAACACAUUGGGCAGACACAAAAAUCCUGGAAAGAUACUGUGUUCUUGGUGCCCAGAAGUCUAGCGUGCACAGGUUUUGACAAAAUGGUGGAGAAAAUAAACCACAGACACACAAUGCUUUCCAGGAAAGGGGCUCAUUUUCAGAAAACCAAGCUGGAAAAUUCCAAGGAAUUGGGCAAGCUACCCUGUCACACCACUGGGCUGAACUGCCCCAUCCACAGUUACGACAGUCAAGUGCACAGGUGCGUGGGAGAUCCGUGGCCAGCAAGGUCUUCCCAAGGAGGGAAGGAAGCUGUAUGUGUCAGGGUAUCUGUCAGAGUCUGCAGAACAGUUGUCUUGAGAUUGCCAACACGAUGUGGGUCACCAAAAAUGUGGCUUCACAGCACACACCUGGUGUGUUAGCAAGAAGCAUCUGUAGGAAAAUAUUAGUUUUGUUUGAAAAUAUUAAAAGAUAGAAUGGCU